CGGAAAGUCCCCUCUGCCGUCUGCUCUACAGGGAGAUGUCUUCUUGUGGUUUCUUCUAUUAUGAAGAUUGAAGAGUGAACAGCAUCAGGGACAUUGGUGCUCCAGGCUACCCGCUUCAUAGUUGCAGUUGAUGGAAGAUUCAUCAACUCAGACUUGACUUCACUCGUUGCUGCGAUGGCCAUGGUUUUCGCAGCAUUUUACAUAUUUGAUAGUCUUUACCCAUCAGAAGCUUCAGUCACACUGGAAUUUAUGCAGAGGUGUUUCUUCAUAAUAAAUCCGGAAAAAGGGACAAAAAAUACCAGAACAAAGAAAAAAGUGGCACACACCCAUCCAAGAAUAUUAAGUUCAAUGCAGAGUUUUCUGCAUAUGAGCUUAAGGAAUAAGGAGUG